GAUGAAGAACGUAGCGAAAUGCGAUAAGUAGUGUGAAUUGCAGAAUUCAGUGAAUCAUCGAAUCUUUGAACGCACAUUGCGCCCUUUGGUAUUCCUUAGGGCAUGCCUGUUCGAGCGUCAUUUAAACCUUCAAGCUCAGCUUGGUGUUGGGUGACUGUCCGCUUCACCGCGGACUCGCCUCAAAAUUAUUGGCGGCCGGUACAUUGGCUUCGAGCGCAGCAGAAACGCGAACUCGGGCCCGUCGUAUUGGCUCCCAGAAGCUAUCUUCACAAUUUUGACCUCGGAUCAGGUAGGGAUACCCGCUGAACUUAAGCAUAUCAAUAGCGGAGGA
rnacentral:misc_RNA from 1 species